rnacentral:rRNA from 1 species
UACGUAGGGUGCAAGCGCUGCCCGGAUUUCUUGGGCGUAAAGGGCGCGUAGGCGGCUCUGCACGUUCGUUGUGAAAUCGCCCGGCUCAACUGGGCGGGGUCAGCGGAUACGGCAGAGCUUGAGCAAGCUAGGGGGCAAUGGAAUUCCCGGUGUAGUGGUGGAAUGCGUAGAUAUCGGGAGGAACACCAGUGGCGAAGGCGGUUGCCUGGGGCUUUGCUGACGCUGAUGCGCGAAAGCGUGGGGAGCAAACAGG